rnacentral:tRNA from 1 species
GGGCGAUGGUGUAAGGGGAAACACACUCCUAUGGAGAGUAUUUGUGAGGUUCGAAUCCUCACCGCCAA